CGCAUCGCCGGGUAGCUAUGUUCGGAAGGGAUAACCGCUGAAAGCAUCUAAGCGGGAAGCCUACCUCAAGAUAAGAUUUCCCCGAGGCUUUAUGCCUCCUAAAGAGCCGUUGAAGACUACGACGUUGAUAGGUUGGAUGUGGAAGCAUAGCGAUAUGUGAAGCUGACCAAUACUAAUUGCUCGUGAGGCUUGACUAUACAACACCCAAACAGUUG
rnacentral:rRNA from 1 species